UAACUAGGACAAAUAUAUUUAUUGUAUUCUCCACAUAACACAUAAAAACAUUUCAUUUCACAAUGACCAAAUGUAGACCCUAACAAACACAUGAAGGCACUGUGAAUAUAAUGGAAGCAUCUGCUGACGUAGUUGAUGAUUCCAAUAUAAGGAAAUGUGACAAGAUACUAAAAUGACCACUUGAUGGCUAAAAAGAAAUCAUGAGAUGUGUAAUAA